rnacentral:misc_RNA from 1 species
AACCUAGCACACCUGCGGUGUGUACCUGCGGAAGGAUCAUUAUAAAAAUAUGGUCAAACCAUUCUCCUGUGAUUACGUAACGUGUAUACUUUGGCAGGCUUUGGGUCAUUUUCGAUCCAUCUUCUACGUUUGUGCCUUACGCGUACGAAUGUCUGAAGUUGGCCUGCCAGAGGUUUUCAAUAAACACACACGUUUAAACUACAGUCUGAAAAUCUCUUUCGAGAGAAUAAAAACAAAUAU